rnacentral:rRNA from 1 species
ACGGGAGGCAGCAGUGGGGAAUAUUGGGCAAUGGGGGAAACCCUGACCCAGCGACGCCGCGUGAGCGAAGAAGUAUUUCGGUAUGUAAAGCUCUAUCAGCAGGGAAGAUAAUGACGGUACCUGACUAAGAAGCACCGGCUAAAUACGUGCCAGCAGCCGCGGUAAUACGUAUGGUGCAAGCGUUAUCCGGAUUUACUGGGUGUAAAGGGAGCGCAGGCGGUACGGCAAGUCUGAUGUGAAAGCCCGGGGCUCAACCCCGGUACUGCAUUGGAAACUGUCGAACUAGAGUGUCGGAGGGGUAAGUGGAAUUCCUAGUGUAGCGGUGAAAUGCGUAGAUAUUAGGAGGAACACCAGUGGCGAAGGCGGCUUACUGGACGACAACUGACGCUGAGGCUCGAAAGCGUGGGGAGCAAACAGGAUUAGAUACCCUGGUA